rnacentral:lncRNA from 1 species
CUGAGCCCAGAGCAGAGGAGCUGAGGGAAGCCUUCAUGUUGUCUGCAGCUCCUCACAGGGAGUGGAAGGGCAGCGCUGAGCUCUGCUCUGUGUGACAGCACAGGGCCCGAAGGAACAGCAUGGAGCUGGGUCAGGGAAAGGGUCUGCACCAGAGGGUGGUGAGCAUGGUCCCAAGAACCAGAAAGCAUUUGGACAGAGCUCUCAGGCAUAGAGUUUGAUUUUUUUUUUUUUUUUUUUUUUUUUUUUGUGGUCCUCUGUGGCGCUAGGAGUUGGACUAGAUGAUCGUUACGGAUUCCUUCCAACUUGGGAUACUCUAUUCUAAAUGUGUGGAAGUUGUGUCACGUGUGCCAUACCUGAUUCUGUGUGAAUUUAUCCCUUAGCUUUCCCUUAGCUUAUUCCAAAAUAAUUUUCCCAGCACCAAAUCUGUAGCCUCCAAGGAACUGGAAAUUUUAUCCUUACCAUUAUAAUAACAUUCUCCUGCUUUAUUUCAGGGUGAUGCUGGAGACAAAGGGGAAAGAGGCGAACCAGGACCAAAAGGAAACAAGGGUGACACUCAAAAAGGAGAUCAUGGAGAAAAAGGUGAAGAGGUAUGUGAGUACUACAGAGCUAACUCAUAUUUGUUUUUUUUUCAGAUUGUCUUCCAGAUCCUAAGGAUAUCCAAGUUUAUUUUCACUGAAUGGAAAAUACAUUUUCCAUUCAGUGAUCCAAUUUAUUUAAUUAUUUAGAGCACCUAAGCUAGGCUCUGGCUUGGAGAAGCAUCUGUACUGAGAUGAACACAUCAAAAUUUGCUUCAUUCUACUUGUGUGCUUAAAUGUAGAGUUGGGAUGCCACUGACAAAACAAACUUUUGAGGCUACAUGAUUUUGUAUUGACCUGCAUUGUACUUCUGAGAAGACAGAGUUGAAGAUCAUCGCUAACAACAUUUAAGUAGUUCUACAAUGGCUUCUGACAUCUGGUAUUUCUUAGCUUGAAUUCUUGUUCAUUCCAAGUAGAAAGAUUAACAUUACUCCACACAUAAGAUCAGUUCAAUUUAAAAAUCUUGUUUAAACAUAGUGUAUAUCUGCUAAAAGUCAGGCAAUCUGAUUGACAUAUUUACAGCCAAUGUCAUAGUCACAUAGUAUACAUUUCUAAAUUCAGAGAUAAUUACAAAUUAAAUGAUACCAGAGAAAUAUUUUAUUGUAAUGAAUAGUUAACUUCUUAAUCAUAAUUAGUUAUUGGUUUUUUCCUAUAUAAAUUAACAGCAUGUUUGCCUUUGCAUUUUCUUUUAUGAUCCCCCCCUCCCUUUUUUGUGUUUUGUUUUGUUUUCAAACAGGGAGCUCCUGGCUAUAAGGGUGAAAAG